AUGGAAGGCAGCAGUGGGGAAUAUUGCACAAUGGGGGAAACCCUGAUGCAGCGACGCCGCGUGAGUGAAGAAGUAUCUCGGUAUGUAAAGCUCUAUCAGCAGGGAAGAAAAUGACGGUACCUGACUAAGAAGCCCCGGCUAACUACGUGCCAGCAGCCGCGGUAAUACGUAGGGGGCAAGCGUUAUCCGGAUUUACUGGGUGUAAAGGGAGCGUAGACGGCGAUGCAAGUCUGAAGUGAAAGGCGGGGGCUCAACCCUUGGACUGCUUUGGAAACUGUAUUGCUAGAGUGCAGGAGAGGUAAGUGGAAUUCCUAGUGUAGCGGUGAAAUGCGUAGAUAUUAGGAGGAACACCAGUGGCGAAGGCGGCUUACUGGACUGUAACUGACGUUGAGGCUCGAAAGCGUGGGGAGCAAACAGGAUUAGAUACCCUGGUA
rnacentral:rRNA from 1 species